CAACCUGCCCGCCACUUGGGGAUAACCUUGCGAAAGUAAGACUAAUACCCAAUGAUAUCUCUAGAAGACAUCUGAAAGAGAUUAAAGAUUUAUCGGUGAUGGAUGGGGAUGCGUCUGAUUAGCUUGUUGGCGGGGUAACGGCCCACCAAGGCAACGAUCAGUAGGGGUUCUGAGAGGAAGGUCCCCCACAUUGGAACUGAGACACGGUCCAAACUCCUACGGGAGGCAGCAGUGAGGAAUAUUGGUCAAUGGACGAGAGUCUGAACCAGCCAAGUAGCGUGCAGGAAGACGGCCCUAUGGGUUGUAAACUGCUUUUAUAAGGGAAUAAAGUGAGUCUCGUGAGACUUUUUGCAUGUACCUUAUGAAUAAGGACCGGCUAAUUCCGUGCCAGCAGCCGCGGUAAUACGGAAGGUCCGGGCGUUAUCCGGAUUUAUUGGGUUUAAAGGGAGCGUAGGCCGGAGAUUAAGCGUGUUGUGAAAUGUAGAUGCUCAACAUCUGAACUGCAGCGCGAACUGGUUUCCUUGAGUACGCACAAAGUGGGCGGAAUUCGUGGUGUAGCGGUGAAAUGCUUAGAUAUCACGAAGAACUCCGAUUG
rnacentral:rRNA from 1 species